CCUACGGGGGGCUGCAGUGGGGAAUAUUGGACAAUGGGCGCAAGCCUGAUCCAGCAAUGCCGCGUGUGUGAAGAAGGCCUGCGGGUUGUAAAGCACUUUAAGCAGGAAAGAAGGGGUGAAAGUUAAUACCUUUCAUCAUUGACGUUACCUGCAGAAUAAGCACCGGCUAACUCCGUGCCAGCAGCCGCGGUAAUACGGAGGGUACUAGCGUUAAUCGGGAUUACUGGGCGGGUAGGACGCGUCCGUCGUUAAAGCCCUGGGCUUAACCUGGGAACGGCGGUGGAUACUGUCGGGCUAGAGUGUGGUAGAGGGGAGUGGAAUUUCCGGUGUAGCAGUGAAAUGCGUAGAGAUCGGAAGGAACACCAGUGGCGAAGGCGGCUCCCUGGACUAACACUGACGCUGAGGUGCGAAAGCGUGGGGAGCAAACAGGAUUAGAUACCCCAGUAGUC
rnacentral:rRNA from 1 species